AUCUAGUUGACGAGUCACAAAUAGGAUGAUAUGCGCGUCCUGGAU
rfam:Schistosoma margrebowiei strain Zambia genome assembly, scaffold: SMRZ_contig0000835